GUAAUUAUCAAAAGAAAGGGAACAAAAAAGUCUGCCAAGCAGAUCUAAAUAAUCUUUCCCUCCUUCCUUCUCUCUCCCUCUCUUACACAGUUAUAAAGUUCUAUUUAUUCUUAUAUAUAUUAAAAAAUGAAUGGAUAUCCAAUUAUGUUUUCUAAAAGUAAUCAGAUUAUUUUCUUUCUUUUAAAUUGGUAGUUUUCUUUACCUUACCGCCUUCAGUCUUGUAUACCCUCAAAAGAAGCAUGUGUUGAAUCAUGGACUUAAAAACUAAAAGAAGUGCUGGGUCCGUGGCGCAGGCCUGUAAUCCCAGCGGCUCUGGAGGCUGAGGCAGGAGGAUCUUGUGUUCAAAGCCAGCCUCAGCAAAAGCAAGGCACUAAGCAACUCAGUGAGACCCUGUCUCUAAAUAAAAUACAAAAUAGGGAUGGGAAUGUGGCUCAGUGGUCAAAUGCCCCUGAGUUCUAUCCCUGGCACACCACCCCCCAUCAAAAAAAAAAAAAAAAACUACAAAAAAAAAAGGGGAAUUCAGAAUAUAUUUCUUAACUUUUCAUUUGAUUUUUGUUUCUUAAACAGCUAAUCUUUGUGUAUUGCUUGUGUGUUGUCCCCUCAGGAGAAAAUUUUAUCAUCUACAUCUCAUGCUGUGAUGAGGAAUCAAGAAACAGUAAAUAAUAAUAAUGUUCAAAAGAACAGGCUGGAUUGACACAGCAAGAAAGCAAACUAUGUAAAUGUUAAUGAGAAUUUAAAGGCCUAGUCAUUUGAGGUUUUGGCUGAGAAUUUAGGAUCAUAAUUAUCACUUUAAAAUUAUUAUUGCCCUUUAUUUCUUUGAUGCUGUCAUUGAAGACUGCCUUGACUUGUUAUUUUAAAUUCUAACUCUGCAAAUCUUUCUAAUAUAGUAAUUUUAGUUGUUUAUUGCUCAAAGUAUAAGAUUUCUAGGAGACUUUUCAUGUCAGUAUUAUUUUUGGCACACAUAGCAUUUACUUAUUUGGACCAGCAUUGGAAAGAUCUGAUGUUGUGAUUGAAACCAACUGUAAGCCUGUGUCAGCUACUUUACAAUAAAUGUUGAAAAGAAGU
rnacentral:lncRNA from 1 species